rnacentral:misc_RNA from 1 species
UCUCCGUUGGUGAACCAGCGGAGGGAUCAUUACCGAGUGUAAAAACUCCCAAACCAUUGUGAACCUACCACUGUUGCUUCGGCGGCCUCGCCCCGGGCGCGUUCGCGCGGCCCGGACCCAGGCGUCCGCCGGAGGCUCCAAACUCUGUUUCUAUAUGUAACUUCUGAGUAAAACCAUAAAUAAAUCAAAACUUUCAACAACGGAUCUCUUGGUUCUG